CCUACGGGAGGCAGCAGUGAGGAAUAUUGGUCAAUGGGCGGGAGCCUGAACCAGCCAAGUCGCGUGAGGGAAGACGGUCCUAUGGAUUGUAAACCUCUUUAGGCGGGGAGCAAUGCCGGGCACGCGUGCCCGGAGGGAGAGUACCCGCAGAAUAAGCAUCGGCUAACUCCGUGCAAGCAGCCGCGGUAAUCCGGAGGAUGCGAGCGUAAUCCGGAUUUAUGGGGUUAAAGGGGUGAGCAGGCGGAAGAUCAAGUCAGCGGUAAAAUUGAGAGGCUCAACCUCUUCGAGCCGUUGAAACUGGGUUUCUUGAGUGAGCGAGAGGUAGGCGGAAUGCGUGGUGUAGCGGUGAAAUGCAUAGAUAUCACGCAGAACUCCGAUUGCGAAGGCAGCAUACCGGCGCGCAACUGACGCUCAUGCACGAAAGUGUGGGUAUCGAACAGGAUUAGAUACCCUUGUAGUC
rnacentral:rRNA from 1 species